rnacentral:tRNA from 1 species
GCGCUCGUAGCUCAGCUGGACAGAGCAGGGACCUUCUAAGUCCAAGGCCGCAGGUUCGAGUCCUGCCGGGCGCG